rnacentral:tRNA from 1 species
CGGGAUGUAGCGCAGUUGGUAGCGCGCUUGCUUUGGGAGCAAGAUGUCACAAGUUCGAUCCUUGUCAUCCCGA